UACGUAGGGUGCGAGCGUUAAUCGGAUUUACUGGGCGUAAAGCGGGUGUAGGCGGCUCGGUAAGUCGGGUGUGAAAUCCCACAGCUCAACUGUGGAAUUGCGCCCGAAACUGCUGAGCUUGGGGCCGGUAGAGGGAGACGGAACUGCCGGUGUAGGGGUGAAAUCCGUUGAUAUCAGCAGGAACGCCGGUGGAGAAGUCGGUCUCCUGGGCCGUUCCUGACGCUGAGGCCCGAAAGCUAGGGGAGCAAACCGG
rnacentral:rRNA from 1 species